rnacentral:rRNA from 1 species
GGCGCAGGCGGUUCUUCAAGUCAGAUGUAAAAUCUCCCGGCUUAACUGGGAGCGAUCAUUUGAUACUGCUGAACUUGAGUACAACAGGGGGAGGUAGAAUUCCCGGUGUAGUGGUGAUAUGCGUAGAUAUCGGGAGGAAUACCAGUGGCGAAGGCGGCCUCCUGGGUUGUUACUGACGCUCAGGCCCGAAGGCGUGGGGAGCAAACAGGAUUAGAUACCCUGGUAGUCC